CCUCCAUCCAGCUAGGUUAAGACCACAACAUGAAGCUGCAUCAGGAGGAAUUCUGAUGGGUGAAGUGACCGGACAUGUUCAGCUGAGGACUCCAGCCUCCUUUCAUUCCCAAUGAAUGAGCUCACACGAUGUGUGAUUCCUUGUUCAGAUGUGGUUGAAAGGAAGCUGGACUCGCUGAUCACCCACUUACAUGUUCAUGGGAGUGAGUGAGUCAGUGUAGCCAGCAAAGAACCUUGACAACUGCAUAGGUGAGUCUGGAAAAGAAAGCUUUUCAUGGAUGCCCAGACGGACGUGGACAGAUCCUGGUAACCCCAGGUGAUGGAGACGGCUGACUGGGAAGAUUCUUGAGUUUAGAGCCGAGAGCUUCCAGCGUCUUUUUGCUCCGCCGAGGAGGGAAGAGUCAGAUUCUGCCUUUCAAACCGCUUGAGUUU
rnacentral:misc_RNA from 1 species